UGGGCGCAGCCUGAUGCAGCCAUGCCGCGUGUGUGAAGAAGGCCUUCGGGUUGUAAAGCACUUUCAGUCGUGAGGAAGGUGGUGUAGUUAAUAGCUGCAUUAUUUGACGUUAGCGACAGAAGAAGCACCGGCUAACUCCGUGCCAGCAGCCGCGGUAAUACGGAGGGUGCGAGCGUUAAUCGGAAUUACUGGGCGUAAAGCGCAUGCAGGUGGUUUGUUAAGUCAGAUGUGAAAGCCCGGGGCUCAACCUCGGAAUAGCAUUUGAAACUGGCAGACUAGAGUACUGUAGAGGGGGGUAGAAUUUCAGGUGUAGCGGUGAAAUGCGUAGAGAUCUGAAGGAAUACCGGUGGCGAAGGCGGCCCCCUGGACAGAUACUGACACUCAGAUGCGAAAGCGUGGGGAGCAAACAGGAUUAGAUACCCUGGUAGUCCACGCCGUAAACGAUGUCUACUUGGAGGUUGUGGCCUUGAGCCGUGGCUUUCGGAGCUAACGCGUUAAGUAGACCGCCUGGGGAGUACGGUCGCAAGAUUAAAACUCAAAUGAAUUGACGGGGGCCCGCACAAGCGGUGGAGCAUGUGGUUUAAUUCGAUGCAACGCGAAGAACCUUACCUACUCUUGACAUCCAGAGAACUUUCCAGAGAUGGAUUGGUGCCUUCGGGAACUCUGAGACAGGUGCUGCAUGGCUGUCGUCAGCUCGUGUUGUGAAAUGUUGGGUUAAGUCCCGCAACGAGCGCAACCCUUAUCCUUGUUUGCCAGCGAGUAAUGUCGGGAACUCCAGGGAGACUGCCGGUGAUAAACCGGAGGAAGGUGGGGACGACGUCAAGUCAUCAUGGCCCUUA
rnacentral:rRNA from 1 species